AGCCGGAACCGAGGUGCCUAGAAGCCGUCUGGCUUGCACUUCCCGAGGACGGAGACAGCGCAGUAACCACUCAAGGCUUCCUACAGAUGCUCACCCCUGCCCCAAGCAAGUUCGCUAAGCCUCCCGGAAGGCUGAGGUCCCGAGGGAAGCGGCAGGGAGGGAACUGCGUUCUCUUUGCUCACGUUUAGACUCUGAACCGGAGCUGGACAGCAUUGAGACCACACCUGGUCAGCAGAAGGGCAACCUGAUAGCCAUCGCGAGGGAACGUGGUGGCAAAGAAGCCACAGUAGAGCUACGAGGAGCUCGAUUUGAAGGUCCCCCAACUCUGACACUCUGGACCCCACCACUGGAAGUGCCUCCUGGAGCCAGUACAGCGAGAAGGAACGAUUCUUAGGACCUCAGAUCCGGUGUCCUCUGCGGGAACACACCAAGACUCUAGGCCAGAAAAGGGUUGAGCUGCGGAAGCCCUGAGAUCUACCCUUACUUCCCCACCCCAAUUCCUUAGAACAAUCCCUGCACCUGGAUUUCCACAUCUCAUCCCCAUUCGAACAGGUGAGCCCACCAGAACCCAUCAUCCUAUCCUUGCAUGAGCCCUCACUGAGGGCUCCUACUACCCAGCCAGGAGACAGCGCCAGACCUAUGCAGUUCCUGGUAGGAACUAGAAUCUAGCAGGGUAUAGUGCCCUGGUAACAAUUAGGGACACCCUAGAAGUGUUUGCAGAAUCAGCAGGUUGCUGCCACCCUCCUGGUUCCUCUUCUUGUCCUGUUCUGCCUCCAUCCCUAGGACUGUGACCGAUCAGACCCCAGAAUGGGAAGGAUGAAUGAAAGAACGCAGGAUUCUCCACUUGGUCCCAAGUGCACAGCUGCUGCCUCGGAAAGAGCCCUGUGCCUGCAGCCGUCCCUUCAUGUUGCUCUGUACUUGUUAUUCCGAGGUCAGGGAACACUAGCUUGGAGUGAAAUGGGUGCUGGGUGAGCUGAGAUGUGAGCCAUUGAGUGUCAGCUGCUGCAGAGGGCAGUGGGGCGGGGGCCAUGUAUGGCUAGACUAGGGAAGGGGCGGCUCCACACUGUUGGGCAUCUGGCUUGCCGCCAACAAUGCCUCCAUUAUUUCCCAACGUCCAUGGCAGUGAAAUGGCCCUUGGGGAAUCAGAGUUCAAGCGGGAGACUUGGCCUGGGGAUUCUUGCUUCAAGCCAAAGCAGUUCUGGAAGCUGUGGGACAUUCAAUCUCUAGGACCAGCCCCAGGCCUUUCUGGUCACUGCUGACCCUGUAGCUUUCCUGUUCUCCUGCCUGCUGUCACCUUGUACUUUUUUUCUCCGCAGUCACUCCCUCCUGGUCACCCCUCUGCAUUCUGUCUCUUCUCUUUUUCCUGCCUGGCAGGAGACUUGUAGGUUGCAAUGGCUCUUACCUGGAGUCCUGCUGAAGGUACAGAGGGCAGAAGUUCCAGGGGCACCGGGCCUCUCUCGGUGGCAAUCGAGUUCUGCUUCUAGCAGCAUGGCAGUCACUAAUCCAGUGGUUCGUGCGGGGUGUUCCUGGAAGUGCUGGACCUCUUUCAGGCCUUGGCCCACUCGCUGGGCUGGCGCUGUCCGCGGUGCUGAAGGAGGCACCAGCGUGCUGGGGACCUUCACAAGCCUGCCCCGCCCCUCCUCUGUCCCCGCCCUUGGCCCCUUCCAGGCCUGGGCAGGCGGAGUCAGGCUGGCGUCACUCUAGGGCUGGGUCUGACUAGUUAAUAAUUCGAGGUAGCCUUUUCUCCGGACCUUCCUUUACCUAUUACAGAGUAGCAUAGUGGCUCCAACUUGUUGUCGUGGGCUCUGGGCCUUGGCUAGAGGUGCCACGUUCAUAGUACUCGGGUUUGGGAGCCUCUGAGCUGUUAGCCUGGGACUGCACUCCUUACCCACUCCGUGGAAUAGAUUCUGGGUCCAAAGGCCUUUUGCUUGCAGGCACAGGUCAGAAGCCUCCAACUACGAACUCAACCACCUGCAUCCAGUACUCUGAAGGCAGAUUUUAGUCCCUUUUCUCCAACCCCUAUUUCCAGAAAAGGGUCAUGCAUGCAAACCCACCAGCUACUGAAAAGCUGAAGGGUCCUGAGCAGAAGUUCCCAGGUGCCUGCAGGGCAAUCUGCCCCGGGCUGGGCACAGAUGGGAGGGAAAUUUGGUGAGAGGCUCAACAGCUUUCUAGGUUGACUGGCUGGUCCUCCCAGGCUCUGUGGGUUCAGAGACAGUCUGAGGAUGCAGGUCUCAGCAUAGUCCAUUCUCUCUUCACUUUCUGCCUGACCUUUAGGCUGUCUUCCUGAACGCCUCUAGUUUAUUUAUACAAACAAUUCUUAGAACUUCAGAGUUGUGUCUGCAAACUAGAUGGGAGAAAGGGGUUUGGAGAAUUCCCUGAAUCCAGCUUUACAUAAAGCUGCUCACAUUUCAAAAAACUGAAACAACUUUACUAAAUGUCAAAUUUCUUUAUUCUUACAAUGUGCACAUUAGAGUUUACUUAAAUACAAAAUGUACCCCUUAAGAAAUUUCAUUGACAUUUUCAUGCCAAUUGCUUUUUACUCAAAAUCUUUGCAUUAAAAAAUAAAUAAACAUUUAAAUUACUGA
ensembl:antisense Gm27196 predicted gene 27196